GGAUGUGAGGGCGAUCUGGCUGCGACAUCUGUCACCCCAUUGAUGGCCAGGGUUGAUCUGGCCCGCUAGGCGGGUGUCCCCUUCCUCCCUCACCACUCCAUGUGCAUCCCUCCCAAAGCUGCGGGCUCGGUCGAAGAGGACGGCCUUCCCCAAUAGAGACGGACUGGUCUUCAGUCGAGGGUACACGAGUAGCUGCGCUCCCCUGCUACAACCUCUAUAAACAAGCUCUCAAGAACUGAUUUCUGAGUAUGACUUUGAACCUGAUAAAAAUAUAAAAUA
ensembl:misc_RNA 7SK 7SK RNA